AUGAUGCUGCUGCUGUUUGAGACGCCCUCUGGCUUUGCAAUUUUCAGUUUUCGUGCAUCGGUCAUCGAAGAACCAAAUGCCCUGGAGAAAAUAUGGACGCACUUCAUUCUGAAUGGGACGGCAAAGAGUAAAAUAACCUGCGUGUGUGAUCCAACUGUGAUGGAGUUAAUGUGGGGCAUACAGAUUCGCAUGCCAAGUUUGGUGCCUAAAGAAACAUCAGGUCCGACUGAAGAUGACCACCUCCCGAUGAGUCAAGGACUGAGAAAAGUGUUGAGAGAUUAUGGUUGUGAUUAUGUCAACCCCGAGAUGCUCGAUCAGCCAAUUCUUUUAACGGCUUGUGCUUUGUUUGAGUGUGAUUCUCUUGAGGACGAGAAAUCUGAAGAAUUGAGCCAUUUAGCUAAACUAAUUAAGGUGGUGUCUGGCAUCAACACCGAGGGUUGGGACUCACUGAAAAUUGCAACAGCUCUGAAGAAGAUAUGGUGCCCUGAAGAAGCUGCCAAUUCUUGUGAGAUCAUUUCAGAAGGCGAUGUAUCAAGGUUGGUGAAUGAUGCAGAUAAAUAUAAAGUUAAGCUGGAAAAGGAUGCUUGCUUGGAACUUUCUAGAGAAAUCAUGAAAUCUCGUGGUGUUCGGGCAUCGAAAGAAAAAGUACUGCAAAAAUAUGCUGAGCAGGCCAAGAAAGCAUAUGAAGCACAGAAGCUUAUUAACCAUUAA
rnacentral:rRNA from 1 species